ACGCUCGACACCUACGGGAGGAGCAGUAGGGAAUCUUCCACAAUGGACGCAAGUCUGAUGGAGCAACGCCGCGUGAGUGAAGAAGGUCUUCGGAUCGUAAAACUCUGUUGUUAGAGAAGAACACGAGUGAGAGUAACUGUUCAUUCGAUGACGGUAUCUAACCAGCAAGUCACGGCUAACUACGUGCUAGCAGCCGCGGUAAUCUGAGCGGGCUGGCAAGGC
rnacentral:rRNA from 1 species